rnacentral:rRNA from 1 species
ACGAACGCUGGCGGCGUGCCUAAUACAUGCAAGUAGAACGCUGAAGGAGGAGCUUGCUCUUCUGGAUGAGUUGCGAACGGGUGAGUAACGCGUAGGUAACCUGCCUGGUAGCGGGGGAUAACUAUUGGAAACGAUAGCUAAUACCGCAUAACAGUAGAUGUUGCAUGACAUUUACUUAAAAGGUGCAAUUGCAUCACUACCAGAUGGACCUGCGUUGUAUUAGCUAGUUGGUGGGGUAACGGCUCACCAAGGCGACGAUACAUAGCCGACCUGAGAGGGUGAUCGGCCACACUGGGACUGAGACACGGCCCAGACUCCUACGGGAGGCAGCAGUAGGGAAUCUUCGGCAAUAGACGGAAGUCUGACCGAGCAACGCCGCGUGAGUGAAGAAGGUUUUCGGAUCGUAAAGCUCUGUUGUAAGAGAAGAACGAGUGUGAGAGUGGAAAGUUCACACUGUGACGGUAUCUUACCAGAAAGGGACGGCUAACUACGUG